UACGUAGGGGGCUAGCGUUGUCCGGAAUCAUUGGGCGUAAAGAGCGUGUAGGCGGCUUGGUAAGUCCGCUGUGAAAGUCCAGGGCUCAACCCUGGAAUGCCAGUGGAUACUGUCAAGCUAGAGUCCGGAAGAGGCGAGUGGAAUUCCUGGUGUAGCGGUGAAAUGCGCAGAUAUCAGGAGGAACACCAAUGGCGAAGGCAGCUCGCUGGGACGGUACUGACGCUGAGACGCGAAAGCAUGGGGAGCGAACAGG
rnacentral:rRNA from 1 species